rnacentral:lncRNA from 1 species
CUGGAGUCCUGUGGGAAGGUCACCAUGUGUGCCCAGGAGCUGCCUUGGACAGUCACAAGGACAAGAGAGGAGCUGGAGGUUCAGUGCCUGGAAGAAGCCAGACCUCGUGCAGGUCUUGCUUCAUCUCUUCCUGAGCACCCGCCUCUGAGCAGAGCAUGUUGGACUAAUGAUCGGCUGAAUUCCAGCAGUUUCCUGGGAUUUGCCUCAAGUUUGCAGCUGGACACAGAACUACAGUGAUGCUUUGGUGAAGAGUAUGAAGACGUUGUAUAGUGCACCCAGUCCCCAUCCACAGGGGAGUGGCAUCUUGGUGCCUGCCAUCUCACACGGAGAAGGCUCUGUUUCUGGCUCUCUUUUCUGUCCUACCAUCUUCUCCCUUAGACCUCCUAAGGCACCAUUUGGCUUUCUGUAGUUUCAGUUACCUAUGAUCCACUGCUGUCUAAGAGUUCAUAAAUUGUAAACCCUGUGCCUUUCUGAACUCCACACCACCCUGCUUGACUCUCCUGGAAUGUGAAUUACCCUUUGUCCCGUGUGUCCAUGCUGUCUAUGUAGCCCGCCUGUUAGUCACUUAGUAGCAUCUUGGUUAUCAGAUGGACAUGGUGUGCAGUGCCUGUGAUCAAGUAUUAACUUAAUAAAGCAUAACGGUUGUGAUACUGGCA